rnacentral:tRNA from 1 species
AAGAAUUUAAGUUAAAAAAACUCUUAGCCUUCAAAGCUAAAAAUAGAGAUUGCCCACCCCCUAAUUCUUA